rnacentral:rRNA from 1 species
ACGGAGGGUGCAAGCGUUAUUCGGAAUUACUGGGCGUAAAGCGCGUGUAGGCGGUCCCGCAAGUCUGAUGUGAAAGCCCCGGGCUUAACCCGGGAAGUGCAUUGGAAACUGUGGGUCUUGAGUACUGGAGAGGAUGAAGGAAUUCCCGGUGUAGGGGUGAAAUGCGUAGAGAUCGGGAGGAAUAGCAGUGGCGAAGGCGACCAACUGGACGAUAACUGACGCUGAGACGCGAAAGCGUGGGGAGCAAACAG